rnacentral:rRNA from 1 species
AAUGAAUAUUGAAAGGGCGCAUGGCGGAUUCCUAGGCAUCUAGAGGCGAUGAAGGGCGUGACUACCGACGAAACGCUCCAGGGAGCCGGAAAAAGGUUUUGAUCUGGAGAUUCCCGAAUGGGGCAACCCACAUAUUCCUUGCAGAAUUCAUACGCAAGAGAAAGCAAACUCGGGGAACUGAAACAUCUUAGUACCCGAAGGAAGAGAAAGCAAACGCGAUUCCCCUAGUAGCGGCGAGCGAAGCGGGAACAGCCAAAACCUAUGCAUGCUUGCAUAGGGGUUGUGGGAAGGCAAAUAGAGUGAUCUGCAACGUAUUGGGGGAAGGAGCUGAAACCUCCACCAUAGAGAGUGAUAGUCUCGUACCCAUUGACUAUUCAGCAUCACAUGCAAUCUCCCAAGUAGCACGGAGCACGUGGAAUUCCGUGUGAAUCAGCGAGGACCACCUCGUAAGGCUAAAUACUCCUAGAUGACCGAUAGUGGACCAGUACUGCGAAGGAACGGUGAAAAAGAACCGCGGAGGCGGAGUGAAAUAGAACAUGAAACCGUGCGCUUACAAGCAGUUGGAGGCCCCUGAGGGCUGACAACGUGCCUGUUGAAGAAUGAGCCAACGAUUUAGAGGGGGUGGCGUGGUUAAGGCCUGACCGGCCGAAGCCAUAGUGAAAGCGGGCCUGAAUAGGGCACCUGUCCCUCCCUCUAGACCCGAACCCAGGUGAUCUACUCUUGAUCAAGAUGAAACUUUGGUGAUACGAAGUGGAGGUCUGAACCGCCCGAUGUUGAAAAAUCGACGGAUGAAUUGAGAGUAGCGGAGAAAUUCCUGUCGAACCUGGAGCUAGCUGGUUCUCCUCGAAAUGUGUUGAGGCACAGCGGUGGAUUAUGUACAGCAUGGGGGUAAAGCACUGUCUUGGUGCGGGCUGCGAGAGCGGUACCAAAUCAUAGCAAACUCAGAAUACCAUGCCCAUCCAAUCCACCAGUGAGACUGCGGGGGAUAAGCUCCGUUGUCGAGAGGGAAACAGCCCAGACCAUCAGGUAAGGUCCCCAAAUGAGCAUUAAGUGAGAAAGGAUGUUCAAGUACUAUGACAGCCAGGAGGUUCGCCUAGAAGCAGCUAUCCUUUAAAGAGUGCGUAACAGCUCACUGGUCGAGUGCUUGAGUGCCGAUAAUGAAUGGGACUAAAUGCUCUACCGAACCUAUGGGAGAUUCACAUGAAUCUCGGUAGAGGAGCGUUCCCCCGGGGAUGAAGCGAGUGCGUGAGCACCUCGUGGACCUUGGGGAAGUGAGAAUGUUGGCUUGAGUAACGAAAACAUUGGUGAGAAUCCAAUGCCCCGAAAACCUAAGGGUUCCACAGCAAGGCUCGUCCACUGUGGGUUAGUCGGCUCCUAAGGUUAGGCCGAAAGGCGUCGCCGAUGGAAAGCAGGUUAAUAUUCCUGCACUUACCUCUCUUGAGUCACAAGGGACUGCGUCCGCGCACAAGAAAAGCUUGAUCGACUAUGAAGAGGGUGAGCCGUACCUGAAACCGACACAGGUAGGUGAGUUGAAUAUACGAAGGGGCGCGAGAUACCUCCCUCUAAGGAACUCGGCAAAAUGGCCCCGUAACUUCGGGAGAAGGGGUGCCUCCACUGGAGGUUGCAGUGAAAUGACUCAAGCGACUGUUUAUCAAAAACAUAGGUCUCCGCAAAGUCGCAAGACAACGUAUGGGGGCUGACGCCUGCCCAGUGCUGGAAGGUUAAAGAAGCUGGUUAGCUCUGCGAAGCUAGCGACUGAAGCCCCAGUGAACGGCGGCGGUAACUAUAACCGUCCUAAGGUAGCGAAAUUCCUUGUCUGGUAAGUUCAGACGUGCACGAAUGGCGUAACGAUUUGAGUACUGUCUCAGAGGGAGACUCGGUGAAAUAGAAAUGUCUGUGAAGAUGCGGACUACCUACAUCUGGACAAAAAGACCCUAUGAAGUUUUACUGUAACUUGAGAUUGGAUCUGGACUUUCGCUGCGCAGCUUAGGUGGGAGGCGAUGAGUGCCCUCUUCCGGGAAGGCAGGAGCCAUCAGUGAGAUACCACUCUCCGAAUGUUAGGAUUCUCAAGGUAACCUCAAGCAAGGUACCUGACAGUCUCAGGCGGGCAGUUUUUCUGGGGCGGAAGCCUCCUAAAAGGUAACGGAGGCGUACAAAGGUUCUCUCAAGUUGGUCGGAAAUCAGCUGUAGAGUAUAAAGGCAGAAGAGAGCUUAACUGUAAGACCUACAAGUCGAACAGGGACGAAAGUCGGUCUUAGUGACCCGACGAUGCUGUGUGGAAAGGUCGUCGAUUAACGGAUAAAAACUACUCUAGGGAUAACAGGCUAAUCUCCCCCAAGAGUUCACAUCGACGGGGAGGUUUGGCACCUCGAUGUCGGCUCUUCGCAUCCUGGGGCGGUAGCACGUCCCAAGGGUUGGGCUGUUCGCCCAUUAAAGCGGUACGCGAGCUGGGUUCAGAACGUCGUGAGACAGUUCGGUCUCUAUCCGAUGUAGGCGUAGAACAUUGAAAGCACUCUCCCUUUGUACGAGAGGAUUGGGGAGGACGUACUAUAGGUGUACCAAUUAUUCGAAGAGUAUACGUUGGGUAGCUACGUACGGAGUGAAUGAUGAUAACUGCUGAAAGCAUAUAA